rnacentral:rRNA from 1 species
AUUGAACGCUGGCGGCAUGCCUUACACAUGCAAGUCGAACGGCAGCACGGGAGCAAUCCUGGUGGCGAGUGGCGAACGGGUGAGUAAUACAUCGGAACGUGCCCGAUCGUGGGGGAUAACGGAGCGAAAGCUACGCUAAUACCGCAUACGAUCUAUGGAUGAAAGCGGGGGAUCGCAAGACCUCGCGCGAUUGGAGCGGCCGAUAUCAGAUUAGGUAGUUGGUGAGGUAAAGGCUCACCAAGCCGACGAUCUGUAGCUGGUCUGAGAGGACGACCAGCCACACUGGGACUGAGACACGGCCCAGACUCCUACGGGAGGCAGCAGUGGGGGAAUUUUUGGACAAUGGGCGCAAGCCUGAUCCAGCCAUGCCGCGUGCAGGAUGACGGUCCUAUGGAUUGUAAACUGCUUUUAUACAGGAAGAAACACUACUUCGUGAAGUAGCUUGACGGUACUGUAAGAAUAAGGAUCGGCU